GGAGAGGUGGCUGAGUGGUCGAAGGCGCUCGCCUGGAGAGCGAGUAGACGGCCUAAACCCCGUCUCGAGGGUUCAAAUCCCUCCCUCUCCGCCA
rnacentral:tRNA from 1 species